CUUUUGUAUGCAUAAUAGUUAUAUACACUAAAAAGAAGAUAUAUAAUAUAUUAUUUAAUAGACACAGCAGUUUUAGUUUGAUACAUUGCAGAUAAUGAUUUUAAGACAGAGGCUGUUUGGAUAUGAAAUAUAUACAUUAUAUGUGGAGUCUAUUUGGUUUUUGUUUUUUGUUUUUAUGAUAAUAAAGGAGUCCAGGGGUUCCAGCAGUUUUCUGCCCUACUGAGUAAUUUAUUUUUAUAGAAUAUAUUUUUUUCUAUUAAUAAGUUUUCUUUUAAAUAAUUUUUAAGUGCUAUUAUAUUGGUUUGUUCCAUAGCUAAUUUGCUUCUAUAAAUGUAGAAUUUUGUUAACAGAAGUAUUAUGUUUC
rnacentral:lncRNA from 1 species